CCCAACGAGAUAUCCAAACCUCAAGGAGGGGCGCCAACUCCAUUACAUGGAUUAAAGUGGCGUGUCCUCAACAACGUAAUCAAAUAGAUUGCGGGUAUUUCAUGUUGAGGUUUAUGCGAGAUACUCUUGCUUUGGGCCGAUUAAAGAUUCUCACCGAUUACUUUGAUGAAUUCAAGUGUGCAUUUUAUACAAAGGAUCAAGUGGACGAAAUCAAAGAGGAGUGGUGUCAAUUCAUGAUAAAGCU